GGUCUUAUAGCUCAGUGGUAGAGCAUACGAUUGCAGCGUGCGUCACGUGACCUAUCGUAGGGCCCCGUGUUCGAACCACGGUGAGACCU